AUCUUACUGGAGAUCCCUGUGUACUAGAGGCCUUCUGAAAACCAGCAGGAACAGUAUGCGUGGAAGAGGGAAGCUGAGUACAGCAGAAAGUCUUGGUCCCUGAUGGCACCUGAGCCAGGACAGAAACAGCUCAGAGCUGCAUCCUAGAGCAAAAGUUGGCAGCAGGAACUUCAAACAGCUUCAUCUUCUUGGAAUUCUUGUAAACCUUUUAUUUUCCUAAUCUAAUCUGCUAACUGAGCUUUGCAUCAGAAUUUUGGGUCAAAAAUUUGAAGUUAGUGUGGCUCAAAUUGAAUGUGUCUGGGAUCUGAUUUAGGGAAUUUUCUGUUUAUUCUGAUGUCGUUGCAGUGUUACAAAGAGGAGAGCAAGGUGACAUGUAUAACCUAUUAUGCAAUAGCUGAUGUGACCAUAUGCUUGUUUGUGUGUGUGUAUUUUUUACAAAUCAGUAGUAGAUGAGAUAUGAAUUAUGCUUCUAUUUAAUUGUAAACAUAGUCUGCUUGGUUUCUAAGUAGUUGGAGUUGCCAACUUGGUAGAAAGGAAGGGUUAAUUUUGGAGAAAACAUAUUUCUCCUUCAGCUUCUCUCCACAGUGAGCUGCCUACAGAGGUAUAUGUGCACACUGCUACCCUGGCUCCUGCUGUACUGGGCUCUCACCUUCAGAUCCCAGCCUGGGAGGGGGUGUGAGCUGCCAGGGCUGCAGCAGGGUGCCAGCUCAGUGAAUCCCGUUUGUGCAGGGCUCUGCGGAGCUGAUCUGGCAUCAGUACUAACAGAAGAACAUUUCUUAGCUUAAACUUCUGGCUAGGGUGAAGGUUUGUUUGUUUGUUUGCAACUGCCAAAGCAGAUCAAGAUGAGAAGUUAGGAAAUCAUGACCAACGGAUUGGGAAGGAGAAUGGGAAAUUUCAUGCUCUGAUGGCUUGCUUGGCUGUCUUCAUUCUAGGCUACUCUUUUGUGUAGUGUCUGGAUUUCCCUGCUCCUGGCUUGAAGUGCACAUAUUUAAAAUGCACUGUUAAAAAAAAAAAAAAAGAAUUGCUUUAAAGGCAUUCAAAGAUAUGAAUUUAUGAAAUGUUGAACAGUGACUGAACGUUGAUCCCUUCCAGUAUCGGAUGAUUUCUUUACUCAGUGACAUUUCAGGUUCCCUCUUUUUGUUUUUAUUUGGCUCAGCUCCACAGAAAACUGUAACCCUUUAGGAAUUCUCUCUAGUAAACUCCCAUUCAAAUCACUGGGGACAGCAACAAUCUGUCAGCACAGUCUUUUACCGUGUUUCCUUGUUAUUUAUAGAUUAGAUCUUGCAUCACUGAAAUAUUUCUGCCAUAUUGUUCAAGAUAAAGCCAGUAAAUUCAAUAUGCCAUUGUGUAGCCCCUGACUUGCCUCCAAGGCCUUGUUUUUCACAGAGAGAAAAAAUACUUUAUAGAAGAGUGGGAGCUGUCUGACUGCAAAAUGGGCUUGAAUAAUAACACCAGGCUCUCAGCUGAAAUUUUAUACCAUAGAUGAAUCAUCAAGUGCUCAUUAAACAUCUAUCUACUGUAGAAAUAGAUAACAAAUCUUCCCCUUGAUGUUACCCUUAGGAUCUUCACAAAAAUAAUUGUAUACGGGAAUGUGAAAAUGGCAAACUUGACCAAAUCAUCAGCAGUGGUAUGGCAUCCAUCUGAUUCUAACCUGAGUAAUGCUUUCCUCCUGAUGUUACAAUAACUCUUAAGUAAGAGCGCUUAUUAUCCUUAGAAGACCUGGGAUUGAAGCGGGAAAAGGCUGUGCCACCUUCUGUCCUCCUUGGGCAAACUGCAUUCUGGAUAAGAUAUCAAAUGAGCAUCUCUUCACGUCAAAAUUGUUAAGGGCAUCAGG
ensembl:lncRNA